CUAGCGACUUCAGAGUUUGGAUCCUGGCUCAGGAUGAACGCUGGCGGCGUGCCUAACACAUGCAAGUCGAACGAAGCGACUCAAAGUUUUCGGACAGAGAGUUGACUGAGUGGCGGACGGGUGAGUAACGCGUGGAUAACCUGCCUCAUACAGGGGGAUAACAGUUAGAAAUGACUGCUAAUACCGCAUAAGCGCACAGUACCGCAUGGUACAGUGUGAAAAACUCCGGUGGUAUGAGAUGGAUCCGCGCCUGAUUAGCUAGUUGGCGGGGUAACGGCCCACCAAGGCGACGAUCAGUAGCCGACCUGAGAGGGUGACCGGCCACAUUGGGACUGAGACACGGCCCAA
rnacentral:rRNA from 1 species